AACGGAAUGAUAACGAAAAGUCCUUAAAGGUCCAAAGGUCUCGUUACAGAGCAACAAGUAAAUCUAGUGAAAUAUACGAAUGAAAGAGAUGUCGAUGCCUGAAGAGACAAUAUUCAGAUUUUAGAGACCGGACAGAUUUUAUUCACCACAUUUGACGACAGGGCGCAAUCAGGUUGACAACCUGGGUCAGAAGGAAACAUUUGGCCAUACUUCUAUUAUCUAAGGUUCACGAUCAAACCACUUACGACAUAUUUGUUCUGAAUAUAUCACAACCAAUUUGGCCACAUUUGGUAAAUUGCCAGCAGACUCUAAAAUCACCCACCCCGGAUGUUGGCAGUCCGGGAUCAGAUCUCUGACUUAAGGUCAGACCCCACAUGACCGCAUCGAUGAUGGCCGUCUGUCUGGCGUCACACAGAGAGCGAUUAGGACAAUGGAAGUGAGCAGGCUAGUCCCUACAUCUCUGCACCAACACACCAAACUGCCCGACUAGUUUGGUUUAGGUUUUGACGGACACGGAUCGUGUGAGGUGCAGUGUAGAGUUUAUUUUUUAAUAUUUUGUUCAUCUAUUUAUCAUUUUAUAUUAUAUAAUAUUAGUACAAUUUUAUUUUGUAAAAUGGACACAAAGAAACUAAUUGAAGAGGUCAGAAAAGAAAGUUUCCUGUGUUGUAUGAUUAGACCAGUGAAAAACACAGAAAUACGGCAUAUAAAGACAGAAUAAUUUAAUUAAAUAAUAAUCAAAUAAAUUUAUCACCUUUCGACACA